rnacentral:rRNA from 1 species
AGUGAACGCUGGCGGUAGGCUUAACACAUGCAAGUCGAACGGCAGCACAGUAAGAGCUUGCUAUUACGGGUGGCGAGUGGCGGACGGGUGAGGAAUAAACCGGAAUCUACUUUUUCGUGGGGGUGAGCGACGGGAACUAAUAGCGAAUAGGGGCCACGUCUAGCGGGAGGAAGGGGGGGUUCUUCGGGCGUAGGGUGAUCGAGUGGCCUAUCAGCGAGUUGGCGGGGUAAUGGCGUACCGAGCCGCCGAGGGGUAGCCGGUCUGAGAGGGUGAAAAGCCACACUGGGACUGGACGACGGCCCUGACUCCUACGGGAGGCACCAGUGCGGAAGAUUGGACAAUGGGCGCAAGCCUGAUCCAGCCAUACCGCGUGGGUGAAGAAGGCCUUCGGGUUGUAUAGCCCUUUUGUUGUGAAAGAAAAGCAUCAGGUUAAUCCCCCGCUGUUCUGACGGUACCCAAAUAAUAAGCACCGGCUAACUUCGUG